GCUCCCAUGGCGUAGUGGUCACUGCGCUCGCCGUGCACGCGGGAGACCCGGGUUCGAUUCCCGGCGGAAUCA
rnacentral:tRNA from 1 species